UACAGAGGUCCCGAGCGUUGUUCGGAUUCAUUGGGCGUAAAGGGUGCGUAGGCGGCGGGGCAAGUCUGAUGUGAAAUCCCGGGGCUCAACCCCGGAACUGCAUUGGAUACUGCCUUGCUCGAGUACUGGAGAGGGAACUGGAAUUUACGGUGUAGCAGUGAAAUGCGUAGAGAUCGUAAGGAAGGCCAGUGGCGAAGGCGGCUUUCUGGACGGUAACUGACGCUGAGACGCGAAAGCGUGGGGAGCAAACAGG
rnacentral:rRNA from 1 species